AAUCCAUGCUGUGGGCACUUCUGCAAUAGAUGCUUGAAUCGCUCUCAUGUCUCAAACAAGGACUCGAGCUCCAUCUGAACAAAUAAUGAUAUCUCAUUAUGAAGUUU